rnacentral:rRNA from 1 species
GUCUACAGCCAUGCCCCUCUGAACAUACCGAAUCUCAAAAGCUAAUAAGCAGGGUGAGGCCUGGUUAGUAUUUGGAUUGAGAGACUGCCUGGGAAUACUGGGUGCUGUAGGCU